rnacentral:rRNA from 1 species
UACGUAGGGACCAAGCGUUGUUCGGAUUUACUGGGCGUAAAGGGCGCGUAGGCGGCGGGGUAAGUCGGGUGUGAAAUCUCAGAGCUCAACUCUGAAACUGCACUCGAUACUGCUCUGCUUGAGGACUGGAGAGGAGACUGGAAUUCACGGUGUAGCAGUGAAAUGCGUAGAUAUCGUGAGGAAGACCAGUGGCGAAGGCGGGUCUCUGGACAGUUCCUGACGCUGAGGCGCGAAGGCCAGGGGAGCAAACGGG